rnacentral:rRNA from 1 species
GGCCUAACACAUGCAAGUCGAGCGGUAACAGGACUAGCUUGCUAGUUGCUGACGAGCGGCGGACGGGUGCGUAACACGUAGGAAUCUGCCCGGUAGUGGGGGAUAGCCCGGAGAAAUCCGGAUUAAUACCGCAUACGCCUUACGAGGGAAAGGAGGGGCCUCUUCGGAGCCUUUCGCUAUCGGAUGAGCCUGCGUCGGAUUAGCUAGUUGGUGGGGUAAAGGCCUACCAAGGCGACGAUCCGUAGCUGGUCUGAGAGGAUGAUCAGCCACACUGGGACUGAGACACGGCCCAGACUCCUACGGGAGGCAGCAGUGGGGAAUAUUGCACAAUGGGGGAAACCCUGAUGCAGCCAUGCCGCGUGUGUGAAGAAGGCUCUAGGGUUGUAAAGCACUUUCAGCGAGGAGGAAAGGUUGCUGGUNAAUACCCAGCGGCUGUGACGUUACUCGCAGAAGAAGCACCGGCUAACUCCGUGCCAGCAGCCGCGGUAAUACGGAGGGUGCGAG